AUGUGAUUAUGGAGUCGUUCUCUGAAGUUGAGCGGACUAACAUGAUUGCCCCAACAGGCUCUCCACGCGCCUUCUUUUAAAUGUACUAGUCAUUCGUUCAUGACCUACGGGUGCUCAUACUCUUCACCCACUUUAAAUUUGAGGUCCUCACGAACAUGAACACAACUACCUCACAGAUAACUCCCAAUGCUUAGGCAUUUAUAAAGGCAUUCAAAAUCAUUUGUCAGCACCUAACGGUUAACCCUACCUGUAAGACCCC
rnacentral:lncRNA from 1 species